UACGGAAGGCAGCAGUGGGGAAUAUUGCACAAUGGGCGCAAGCCUGAUGCAGCCAUGCCGCGUGUAUGAAAAAGGCCUUCGGGUUGUAAAGUACUUUCAGUCGUGAGGAAGGUGUUAAGGUUAAUAACCUUAGCAAUUGACGUUAGCGACAGAAGAAGCACCGGCUAACUCCGUGCCAGCAGCCGCGGUAAUACGGAGGGUGCGAGCGUUAAUCGGAAUUACUGGGCGUAAAGGGCACGCAGGCGGUUAAUUAAGUUGGAUGUGAAAUCCCCGGGCUUAACCUGGGAAUGGCAUUCAAGACUGGUUAGCUAGAGUCUUGUAGAGGGGGUUAGAAUUCCAUGUGUAGCGGUGAAAUGCGUAGAGAUGUGGAGGAAUACCGGUGGCGAAGGCGGCCCCUGGACAAAGACUGACGCUCAUGUGCGAAAGCUGGGGAGCAAACAGGGAUUAGAUACCCGU
rnacentral:rRNA from 1 species